CCUUUAUGAUGAAACUUGCACAUGUCUUACGCACUGUCAACACCAGAACCUGAAAAGGUGAACCCACUGGUGUUGCCAGAGCAACAAGGGGAUAAUUUGUUGGUUACCAACUGUCUGAUGGCC
ensembl:snoRNA SNORD22 Small nucleolar RNA SNORD22